rnacentral:rRNA from 1 species
UACGAAGGGGGCUAGCGUUGUUCGGAAUUACUGGGCGUAAAGCGUGCGCAGGCGGUUCGUUGUGUCGGCGGUGAAAGCCCUGGGCUUAACCUGGGAAUGGCCGUUGAAACUGGCGAACUGGAGUGUGGCAGAGGGGGGUGGAAUUCCGCGUGUAGCAGUGAAAUGCGUAGAGAUGCGGAGGAACACCGAUGGCGAAGGCAGCCCCCUGGGCUAACACUGACGCUCAGGCACGAAAGCGUGGGGAGCAAACAGG